rnacentral:lncRNA from 1 species
AUGCACCAAACUAGUCUAACGCAGUUAACGUAUAAGCUGAAGUGAACAAGAAAGAAAAAUAUCUGAUACAGAUUGAUAACGCGUUCUCGGAGCUUCAACUUUCUCCUUCGCUUCCUCUUAUCGUCAAUCGCGUUCAAACAUAGAGCAACAAUCAAUGAACAUCUCUUAAACGAAUCACAACAACGUGUUCUUUAUUUCUCGGCCUCGCGUUCAUCAAUCCUCAUUGCGAUUCAAUGAUGCUUCACGGAUUCACGUCAUUCAUCAAUCAAUCAUGAUUCGCGUUCCUCCAUUAUCAUCGCAAUUCAACGAUUCAAGCAUCCUUCUACGAAAUCAACCUAGACAGCUACCAAAAUCCACGGCGCCGAAUCGCAACGACAUCACGGAAUCGAGCUCAAACGCAUUGAAAAAUGAGGAAGAACCUACCGGUUGCGAGCAGCUUGCAAGAAUAGGUACGAAUCCUAUAUGUUUCUUCUGAAAUUCAUGCUCUUGGAUACGUGAAUUGUUUGCAUAUGUGCUAUGCGUUUGUUACGAUCUUGCUUUCUUCUCUUCUGAACUUUUUGUUAUGAAAGAGUGAAUGAAAACAAUUUGAUGAAAAGUGGAUUUGUUGAUACGUGAUGAAUAGUGGUUUUUGAUUUGCGUUCGUUUGAGAUUUUCUGUUAUGCUGUGAAAAAAGGAACUUCGAUCCCUCAUUCUGAACUGAAGCUGGGGUUAUAUAGGAUGUUAUUUAAUGUUUUCAAACUCACAUGAAAUUCAAUCGAAAUGCUGUAGUCUCUCAAGCACGGGUACUCCAUAAAGCCACCAAAGCCGUACCAAUUUUUUUGUUUUCUUUCUAAGUUGUAACAUCAACCCAUACAUAUUUG